ACCAAGGGCCUAAUGACCCAGUGAUAGGCAUCACCUCAGACACCAUCUUUGCACAGUUCCUGGGGGAGUUGGGAGGAGACAAUACAAUCUCUUGGUGAUGGUUAACACAUACAUCUUCCUUUUGGCACAUCCCUUUAGGCAGUUUCAGCGUCGAAAAUGGCCAGAAAUGAAGAGACCUCUUCCAAAUCACUGGGACAGCUUUGGGAAGGCUGGGAAGGUUAAGCGGCCCUAGAGAGGAACCUCCAAAACCAGAGGCCUUGUGUGGCUGCCCAGGCCAUGCAAAACCACAUGAUUCCCAGUGCUGGAACUGGGAGGCCUGACAGGAGGCAGGGCCUGCUCCUGGGACACGAAAUCCUUGAGGACAGCACCCAGACUUCCCCGGGCCCAUUUUUUGCCCUGCUUUGCUUUGGACUGGAACCUCACCAGCUACACAGAACGAAUUCUCAUGCCUGGAGUCUCUGCCAGCCCGCUGAGGUUCAGAAGGACAACAGAACUGAUUUCCAUGGAUUUCUUCCAGGGAUGAAAGUUGCUGGGAUUCUGUUUAAGUCGUAUAGGGAAACAAGCUUUUAACCUUCUUAUUCUUUGGAGAAAGCACGGACAUGGGCAACUCCCGAGUGCUGCCGACAAGGCAGUCCGGCCAUGAGUCAAUAGCACAAAAGUGGCACCAUUCACCUGGCCGGAUGAGCCGCUGCCUCUGAAGCUGCCUUCACUGUACAUAUGUGACCGCUCACGUGUAACCAACACAGGGACUUUUAGGGGAAUCUCACUAAUACAAAAUCCCAUUUUCAAGAGUCGUGGUGUCAAUAAACGCUCUGUGGCCAGUGUCAGCGAAAAUCCCUUGAGCUUGUGGACAUUUCUGUUCCCGUCCAGGAUUCAUUCCUUUGUUAUCCAUCCCAGAACUGAUGUUUUCUAAGGUACUGAACACCCAAGUUCAUGUGUGUCCUGUGUUUAAUGACAUUGUAUUUGUAAAGAAAUUUUGUAGUGUAAGUACAAUCUCACAGUGUUCAUACCCCCAGCCAAUGACUAGCUAUUGGUAUGAAAAAAAAAUCUUUGAAUUUUUGUAAAAGAC